UGGGGAAUAUUGCACAAUGGGCGCAAGCCUGAUGCAGCAACGCCGCGUGAGUGAAGAAGGCCUUCGGGUCGUAAAACUCUGUCCUAAGGGAAGAAGAAGUGACGGUACCUUAGGAGGAAGCCCCGGCUAACUACGUGCCAGCAGCCGCGGUAAUACGUAGGGGGCAAGCGUUAUCCGGAAUCACUGGGCGUAAAGGGUGCGUAGGCGGCUGAUCAAGCCAGGGGUGAAAGGCUGUGGCUUAACCAUGGUAAGCCUUUGGAACUGGUCAGCUUGAGUGCAGGAGAGGAAAGCGGAAUUCCUAGUGUAGCGGUGAAAUGCGUAGAUAUUAGGAGGAACACCCGUGGCGAAGGCGGCUUUCUGGACUGUAACUGACGCUGAUGCACGAAAGCGUGGGGAGCAA
rnacentral:rRNA from 1 species